GAUGAACGCUAGCUACAGGCUUAACACAUGCAAGUCGAGGGGAAACGAUAGAGAAAGCUUGCUUUUUCUAGGCGUCGACCGGCGCACGGGUGAGUAACGCGUAUCCAACCUGCCCAUCACUUGGGGAUAACCUUGCGAAAGUAAGACUAAUACCCAAUGACGUCUCUCGAAGACAUCUGAAAGAGAUUAAAGAUUUAUCGGUGAUGGAUGGGGAUGCGUCUGAUUAGCUUGAUGGCGGGGUAACGGCCCACCAAGGCGACGAUCAGUAGGGGUUCUGAGAGGAAGGUCCGCCAGAAUGGAACUGAUACACGGUCCAAACUCCUACGGGAGGCAGCAGUGAGGAAUAUGCGUCAACGGGCUUGAGCCUGAACCAGCCAAGUGGCGUGCAGGAUGACGGCCCUAUGGGUUGUAAACUGCUUUUAUAAGGGAAUAAAGUGAGUUUCGUGAGACUUUUUGCAUGUACCUUAUGAAUAAGGACCGGCUAAUUCCGUUCCAGCCGCCGCAGUAA
rnacentral:rRNA from 1 species